rnacentral:lncRNA from 1 species
AAAACUGCGGGUAAGGGCACAGAAGCAGAACUUGCCUCCUUUUCCUGGGGCCGUGCUGUGUUAGUGCCCGCCGUGUGCGCGUGCUCUGCCUUGUGAGUCACGGAUGGGCCUCUGGGGUGAAUGCUCUGCCGCCUACUCUGUGCCUUAGUUUCCAUGUCUGUAAGGCGGGGGAUAAGGACGGCCAGCUCCCAUUCCCAAGCCGCCUGGAGCGAAGCCACAGUGAGGAAUGGAACAUCUGGUGCAAAGAAUCGGUCCAGCUCCGCGAGACACGAGCUUCAUUCCUCUUUUGUUCAGUGCCAUAGCUCAGAUCCGGGUUUGCAGGAAUUGCUCAAUAAACAUCUGUUGAACGAAAGAAUUAAUAAGCGAACACAUCGGUGGCUCAGGUAAUACCAGUUCUCUCCUUAGACAAGGCCAAGUCCAAUCACCUCAGGCAGAGGAACUCAUACCCAGAGAAGGAAAGGGCCUUGUUUAAGGCCACGCAGCCAGUUAGUGCCUGAGCUGAGUCCUGAGCUCUGCCUUGGCGGCCAUCAGCCCACGGG